UCUCUUUCCUAAAACUUGUUUUUCUAAAAGCAUGUAUUUAAUUGUUAUCCAUGUGGUUUAAACUGUUGUUUUUUGAAUGAGAUUUGAGGUGUUUGGAAUGGUUGUUGCAUGAACUGAAUUCCUAUGAUUUUUCAUUGAUUAUUUAUACUAUAUUUUCAUGAAUUUGAACUAUUUAAAUGUAUGGGCGUGGGAAUUGGAACGGGGAACAUGGAUUUCUCAAAAUUUAAUGGUGUAAUGGUUUGGAAUUGGCUUUGACAUCAACCCAAUUUAUGAAAUUUUAUUUGAGACAUGGAUAUAUGCAUAAAUUUCUUUACUUUUGGAACCUUUCAUUGUAUAAAAGGUUAAUGAAACAUAAAUUACCUUUUGAAAGGCCUUGGUUGCCAUGGAUUGAUUUUGAAAUGGAACUUUGUAGUCCAGUUGGCUAAACGGGUUGAGUCCCAAUUGUCUAAGUAUUUUAAAUCCUAUUGGCUGAUGGGUUAGAGUCCCAGCCAAACGGGUUGAGUCCCAAUUGGCUGAUGGAACUUUAUGACAGUUGAAGCUACAAAAUCUAGGUUAAUGUUUUUUUGAGUUAAUUUUUUGACGAUUUUACGAACCAAAUUCAAACACAUAAAAUGUCUUAGAAAGAAUAGACCAAUGCAUCCAUUUAAAAGGCCAAUUCUAAGGACCUUACUCGGUCCAAUUCAAAAUUAAAAAAAAUAAAAAAAAAUAUAUAAAGAUAGUAGGGUUUCCAAAAGGAACUAAUCUUCUUCAUUUACUGCCUCUUCCUCCCUUGCAAUAUUUUCCUUUGUCAACCAGUUUUUCUUCCUUCUUCAGCUCUGGGUCAUCAGAACAGUACCUUGAUCUAUCUUGUGUGGCUUUUUUUCCAACUUGCAUAACCAUGUUCUCCAUUGGAUGGGACUUUUAUCUUAUUUUUGUGAUGUAUAGAGGGAUCUAAUCAUAGGAACAAUAUUACCUCUUCCAAAUAUGGUUGAUAGAAAGAUAUGGGAAUGCUCAAAACCAUGAGUAUUUGGACAGUAAUAUGUUCCUCAGGUUCUUGAAGCUCAAAACGACCAUCAGACCCUCCCCUUUUGCUGAGAGUCCUUUUGUUGGUUAUUGUAGAUUAGGCUAAAUAGUUUGUUCACUAUUUUUGAUGUCUUGUUUAUGUGUAAAUAUAAUACCUUAUGAAAACUUAGCUUAAUCCUUCCCAUCCCUCUCAUCCUUUUGAUGGUGACAAUCUCAAGUAAGGGCAUUGUAGUUUAUCACUAGUACAAUUCUCUUAUUAAAUACAUGUAUCUGCUUAAAUGUUAUGAAUAUUAAGUCUCCAUUA